ACGGGAGGCAGCAGUGGGGAAUAUUGCACAAUGGGCGCAAGCCUGAUGCAGCGACGCCGCGUGAGGGAUGACGGCCUUCGGGUUGUAAACCUCUUUCAGUAGGGAAGAAGCGAAAGUGACGGUACCUGCAGAAGAAGCGCCGGCUAACUACGUGCCAGCAGCCGCGGUAAUACGUAGGGCGCAAGCGUUAUCCGGAAUUAUUGGGCGUAAAGAGCUCGUAGGCGGUUUGUCGCGUCUGCUGUGAAAGACCGGGGCUCAACUCCGGUUCUGCAGUGGGUACGGGCAGACUAGAGUGCAGUAGGGGAGACUGGAAUUCCUGGUGUAGCGGUGAAAUGCGCAGAUAUCAGGAGGAACACCGAUGGCGAAGGCAGGUCUCUGGGCUGUAACUGACGCUGAGGAGCGAAAGCAUGGGGAGCGAACAGGAUUAGAUACCCUGGUA
rnacentral:rRNA from 1 species